rnacentral:misc_RNA from 1 species
AAUGCUAGUUUACUUGGGUGAGUUAAUUUUGGACAUUUUAUAAUUGGUAUAUAUUAAAUUGUAGUUACUUGAUGCUGGUCCCACUAAAUGAGGGAUUUAAGAACUAACGUAUCCGGUCUUAUAGUAGGUGGUUUGUUUUUUUGGGAAUAGAGAUUCAGAUUUUUUUCUUGGGAAUAGAGAUUAUGAUUUUUUUGGAUCUUAUAUGCUGCAAUUUAUGGUGCAUCAGUAAUGACUCCUUCAGUUCUACAUUAUGUAUCGAUUGGUUUUUCUUUAAUAUUAAUUAUAAAGGAUGUCCUGAGUUUUCAAUAAUGUCGCUUCUUUUUUUCUUUUGGUGUAUUGGUGAAUUUAAACUUGUAGCUUUUCAGGUGGCCAACUUGCAUUUCUAUUGUGUCUUCCAAGUUGCAUUUCACUGAUUUAAUUGGCCAUAUGAUAUUAAUUGGUUCUUUUAUUUGUUUUUUCUCAUUUACGGUGGCUCCUUUGAUCCAUAAUUCCAAUAUUUAGCAUAUUACUGUUAUGUUGUACUUCAAAUCAACUUCUUUGCAAUUUUUUCAUGUUCCCUCCAUAUUUUUUGGCUGUGACUGAACAUAUAUUUAUGCCACAGAUGGGCUAUGAGUUCGUUGACUCUCAAGGGUAAACCAUCUGAGCAAGCUUCACUUCCUCCUAUAAAUUCUGGUGCACCUCUAACUUCUACUGCCACCAAUGCCAGCUCAGCGAUGGAUACUCCAAGCACAGCACCAGCCCGUGUG